AAGGUGGGGAUGACGUCAAGUCCUCAUGGCCCUUAUGGUAGGGCUUCACACGUCAUACAAUGGUCGGUACAGAGGGUUGCCAAGCCGCGAGGCGGAGCCAAUCCCACAAAGCCGAUCGUAGUCCGGAUUGUUCUCUGCAACUCGAGAGCAUGAAGUCGGAAUCGCUAGUAAUCACAGGUCAGCAUACUGCGGUGAAUACGUUCCCGGGUCCUU
rnacentral:rRNA from 1 species